UCCUCGUUUCACGCACCUCUCUCACCGGUCAGAGAGGCGAGAGAGUGUGCGAAAUGAUGAGA
rnacentral:pre_miRNA from 1 species